GCCUACGGGACGCAGCAGUGAGGAAUAUUGGUCAAUGGCCGAGAGGCUGAACCAGCCAAGUCGCGUGAGGGAUGACGGCCCUACGGGUUGUAAACCUCUUUUGUCGGGGAGCAACGCCGGCUACGUGUAGCCGGACUGAGAGUACCUGAAGAAAAAGCAUCGGCUAACUCCGUGCCAGCAGCCGCGGUAAUACGGAGGAUGCGAGCGUUAUCCGGAUUUAUUGGGUUUAAAGGGUGCGUAGGCGGUCCGUUAAGUCAGCGGUAAAAUUGCGGGGCUCAACCCCGUCGAGCCGUUGAAACUGGCAG
rnacentral:rRNA from 1 species